GAUGAACGCUGGCGGCGUGCCUAAUACAUGCAAGUCGAGCGAACAGACGAGGAGCUUGCUCCUCUGAUGUUAGCGGCGGACGGGUGAGUAACACGUGGAUAACCUACCUAUAAGACUGGGAUAACUUCGGGAAACCGGAGCUAAUACCGGAUAACAUGUUGAACCGCAUGGUUCAACAGUGAAAGACGGUCUUGCUGUCACUUAUAGAUGGAUCCGCGCCGCAUUAGGUAGUUGGUAAGGUAACGGCUUACCAAGGCAACGAUGCGUAGCCGACCUGAGAGGGUGAUCGGCCACACUGGAACUGAGACACGGUCCAGACUCCUACGGGAGGCAGCAGUAGGGAAUCUUCCGCAAUGGGCGAAAGCCUGACGGAGCAACGCCGCGUGAGUGAAGAAGGUCUUCGGAUCGUAAAACUCUGUUAUUAGGGAAGAACAAAUGUGUAAGUAACUAUGCACGUCUUGACGGUACCUAAUCAGAAAGCCACGGCUAACUACGUG
rnacentral:rRNA from 1 species